rnacentral:rRNA from 1 species
UACGUAGGGUGCAAGCGUUUGUCCGGAAUUAUUGGGCGUAAAGAGCUCGUAGGCGGUCUGUCGCGUCUGCUGUGAAAACUCAGGGCUUAACCCUGAGCUUGCAGUGGGUACGGGCAGACUAGAGUGCGGGAGAGGGAUGUGGAAUUCCAGGUGUAGCGGUGAAAUGCGUAGAUAUCUGGAGGAACACCGGUGGCGAAGGCGGCAUCCUGGACCGACACGUGACGCUGAGG